CUUCGAUAGCAAAUGGAGUUGGGGUUCGGCGACACUAGCUUACUUGUAUCGACAGUUGGACGAUGCCAGUUGUAGGCACACUGGAGGUAUUGGUGGUUGUCUGCUCGCACUUUCCAUAUGGAGCUGGGAGCGUUUGCCGGUUGGACGACCUAAGACCGUGAAGGACGAGGAUUGGGACGAUAAAGACGACCCACUACGGCUCCCCACUUGGGCUUACAAGUGGGAUGUGUUAAAUGAGACGACGGAUGAUCCCUCGGUAAUGUACAAGUUGUACAAGAGCGAGCUGGACGCGAUCACGCCUGAGCAGGUGGAAUGGGAGCCGUAUGGA